rnacentral:rRNA from 1 species
UACGAAGGGAGCUAGCGUUGUUCGGAAUCACUGGGCGUAAAGCGCACGUAGGCGGAUUUGUCAGUCAGGGGUGAAAUCCCGGGGCUCAACCUCGGAACUGCCUUUGAUACAGCAAGUCUUGAGUUCGAGAGAGGUGGGUGGAAUUCCUAGUGUAGAGGUGAAAUUCGUAGAUAUUAGGGAAGAACACCGGUGGCGAAGGCGGCCCACUGGCUCGAUACUGACGCUGAGGUGCGAAAGCGUGGGGAGCAAACAGG